rnacentral:rRNA from 1 species
AGUGAACGCUGGCGGUAGACCUAACACAUGCAAGUCGAACGGCAGCACAGUAAGAGCUUGCUCUUACGGGUGGCGAGUGGCGGACGGGUGAGGAAUACAUCGGAAUCUACUUUUUCGUGGGGGAUAACGUAGGGAAACUUACGCUAAUACCGCAUACGACCUACGGGUGAAAGCAGGGGAUCUUCGGACCUUGCGCGAUUGAAUGAGCCGAUGUCGGAUUAGCUAGUUGGCGGGGUAAAGGCCCACCAAGGCGACGAUCCGUAGCUGGUCUGAGAGGAUGAUCAGCCACACUGGAACUGAGACACGGUCCAGACUCCUACGGGAGGCAGCAGUGGGGAAUAUUGGACAAAGGGCGCAAGCCUGAUCCAGCCAUACCGCGUGGGCGAAGAAGGCCUUCGGGUUGUAAAGCCCUUUUGUUGGGAAAGAAAAGCAGCAGGUUAAUACCCCGCUGUUCUGACGGUACCCAAAGAAUAAGCACCGGCUAACUUCGUG